CUCAGGACAACGGUUGCACCCCCCGUGCCGGUCCCUGCUAGCCGGACACCGCUGGCAACCCGGCGCCAAGACGUGCGCGCAAGGGCGGGCGCCCGCGGGCGAGCAGCGUGACGCAGCGACGGCCCGCCCGGGCUUCCGGGGCAUCACCCGGUCGGCGCGGUCGCGGCGCGCCGAGGGCCCGACGCCUGGCGGAGAAUCAGGGUUCGACUCCGGAGAGCGGGCCUGCGAGACGGCCCGCACAUCCAAGGACGGCAGCAGGCGCGGAACUUGCCCAAUGCGCGGCGCGCGAGGCAGCGACGGGGAGCGCGCGAGCGAGGCGGGCCCACAGCCCCCGCCGCGGAGCCGAGGGCAAGGUCUGGUGCCAGCAGCCGCGGUAAUUCCAGCUCGGCGAGCGUCGCGCGGCGCUGCUGCAGUUGAAACGCCCGUAGUUGGCCCCCCGCCGCCACGAGGAAACGGGAGCGCUCCAGGCAGGCCCGUUGGACCCGCCGCGUGGGACCGCGCAGCGGGCGCGGCGCGCCGCGGCAGCCCCGAGGAGAGCGGGCGGUGGCACCGGUACCGGCCGGGGACGGGUGAAACAGGAUGAUCCCGCCGAGACCGCCGGCCGCGCAGGCGCCUGCCAAGACCGCCUCUGUCAAUCAAGGGCGAAGGCCGGGGGCUAGAAGGCGAUCAGACACCACCGUAUUCCCGGCCGUAAACGGUGCCGCCCCGCGGCCGGCGCGCGCGUCCCGCCGGCCGCCCAGGGAAACCGGGAGGCUCCGGGCUCUGGGGGGAGUAUGGCCGCAAGGCUGAAACUUGAAGGCAUUGACGGAGGGGUACCACCAGACGUGGAGUCUGCGGCUCAAUCUGACUCAACGCGCGCACCUCACCAGGCCCGGACGCGCGGAGGACCGACAGCCGGGCGCGCUUUCGCGAUCGCGCGGGCGGUGGUGCAUGGCCGCUCCCAGCCCGUGGCGCGAGCCGUCUGCUCCAUUGCGACAACGAGCGAGACCCCGGCCGCGGGCGCCGC
rnacentral:rRNA from 2 species